rnacentral:rRNA from 1 species
UACGUAGGGGGCAAGCGUUGUCCGGAAUCAUUGGGCGUAAAGAGCGUGUAGGCGGCCUGGCAAGUCUCGCGUGAAAUCUUGCGGCUUAACCGCAAGCGGUCGUGAGAAACUGCCUGGCUAGAAUCCGGAAGAGGAGAGCGGAAUUCCUGGUGUAGCGGUGGAAUGCGCAGAUAUCAGGAAGAACACCCGUGGCGAAGGCGGCUCUCUGGGACGGUAUUGACGCUGAGACGCGAAAGCGUGGGGAGCGAACAGG